CCUACGGGUGGCAGCAGUGGGGGAUAUUACACAAUGGGGGAAACCCUGAUGCAGCGACGCCGCGUGUGGGAAGACGGUCUUCUGGAUUGUAAACCACUGUCCCCAGGGACGAAAAUGACGGUACCUGGGGAGGAAGCUCCGGCUAACUACGUGCCAGCAGCCGCGGUAAUACGUAGGGAGCAAGCGUUGUCCGGAAUUACUGGGUGUAAAGGGAGCGUAGACGGCUGGUCAAGUCUGAAGUGAAAGCCCGGGGCUUAACCCCGGAACGGCUUUGGAAACUGAGCAGCUAGAGUGCUGGAGAGGUAAGCGGAAUUCCUAGUGUAGCGGUGAAAUGCGUAGAUAUUAGGAGGAACACCAGUGGCGAAGGCGGCUUACUGGACAGUAACUGACGUUGAGGCUCGAAAGCGUGGGGAGCAAACAGGAUUAGAUACCCGUGUAGUC
rnacentral:rRNA from 1 species